rnacentral:rRNA from 1 species
UACGUAGGUGGCAAGCGUUGUCCGGAAUUAUUGGGCGUAAAGCGCGCGCAGGCGGUCCUUUAAGUCUGGCGUGAAAGCUCUCGGCUAAACCGGGAGAGGUCGUUGGAUACUGGCGAACUAGAGGAUGGUAGAGGCGUGUGGAAUUCCGGGUGUAGUGGUGAAAUGCGUAGAGAUCCGGAGGAACACCAGUGGCGAAGGCGACACGCUGGGCCAUACCUGACGCUAAAGCGCGACAGCAUGGGGAGCAAACGGG